ensembl:lncRNA
GGGUGAAGUUUCCUUCACUGCUCAUCAGUCAUGCCAGCUACUGAUAUUUCUUCUGUCAGGCACAAACAGUAUCUGACUGACUGACAUUAUCUGUCCAUUGACUGCCUUGAUUUUGAACCUUCUUGGAUUUGUGGCCCCCCUAAGCGUUUCCCAGCUGAGGAAUUUAAGCCAACUGACAAGGAGCAUUAGUUGCAGUUACUCUUCGUGGAUCUCUCAGAAGUAAGCUAGAAACCUCAGAAACACUAUUUUGAAAACAUUGAUUCUAUAGGAUAAAUAUUUACAUAGUACCAUGAACAUCUUAGACAUCAUUGAUCUCUCACAUGGAUGCAAUAGAGCCAAGGAGAAACUUGGCACAAAACAUAGAAAAACAAUGUUCUGGAUAUUAGGAGGCCAGAUCCAUAGCUGGAUCUUCUUCUGCCUCUGUAGGCUGAGACUGAGCUCCCAUUGGUGGGAAAUUUGCAAUGGUGUCCCUCAUCUAUGAGGACGGAUGUGAUCCAGGCUCCAUUUAUACCCAAGGUGGGUGGCUGUGCAGGAGCUACGACAGCCUCUGCAACCUCUCACAAUCAGGUGGAAUAACACAUUCAAAUGUUCAUUCACGUUCAGAUGCCAAAGUGAAGGUUUUUUUUCCCAGUCAAAACCUCAAAGUUAAAAAUCUGAAGGUCUGUCCAACAAUUAGAUAUGGUUUUGCACAGUCAAGAAGUUUAAGGACAUAUUGUUGUAUGGAGUUGUGUUGGUGUCAUUUAUGGCAUAUCCUGUUUUUAUCUAAAUAUGGACUCUAAAAUGGUUUCUAUUUCCCAUACUUCAUUUAAGAUUAAAUUACUAGGUAACAGAUUGAGGCUGGAAUACAGAAGAACAACUUUUAAGUAGUGAAAGUGGCUUCACGUGAUAGGAAAGAGCACUUCAUCUUACAGCUGGUUUGGUCACACAAGAAUAAUUUGACUGUAGACUAAUCCUAGGAAGUUUAAAAGCCAUUACUUUAUGGAUACCAUUUAUCAGAGAUGAAGGAAGAAAUCUGCCCUCCACUCAUGUUCUGAAUGCUCUUAGGAGGUGUGAAUGAAGCAUUUCC